AUUAGGGUCUUUCGAAACAUACAGUAUAACUGAACUUUGCUCCGAACCGUUUUUCGUUAGCGAUGGCUUAUAUUUAGAUACAGAUAUAAAUUAAAUAACGUUAAAUGUACAGCCUUUCUAACUUCCCACCUAUAACAGUGGCACACCUGUCUCCAAUAUCAGCUUUUUUUUUUUUUUUUUUUUUUUGAGUGGUUUUAACACGUGUUUUUUUAGAUGAACUGAAAUGAUACAAUUUUGGGUGAACUUCAAUAUACAUUUCACCAUGUUGAGGGGAACAGGGUUUUUUUUUAACUUUGUACACCAAUGUAAACCUCCAAAUGGAGUCAGAAGAUUGUCAUUUUUUAAUUGGAUGGUGUAAGUAUCUAGUUCAACAUUUAGGGAUUUUCACUUUUAACCUCCAUUCCAACCAUUUUUGUACUCACAUUUCAUGUUUUACAAAUACCCCUAUAGACGUAUCAAGUAACGAGUUAAAUAUAAAAACCAUUAUGGUCGAGGCGCCUUAAGUAGGUUUCAACUUCUAACCCAUAUUCUCACUGUCUGUUUGUAUGUUAGCAAAAAAAGAACCUAUCAAUAAACUUUACAUAUUUUGAUAAAACAUGUUUUGUUCGAUUUUUAUCUAAAGGUAAUAAUAUACACUUUGUAUCUGAAAUAAGGAAGGGGUAUUGAUAAUUAUAAAGCGCAGGCGUACGUGGUAGAUGUCGUCAACAGAAUACAGUCUAGUGAAUACAAAUAAAAUAUAAAAUAUUGUGACGGUAAUAAAUCGGCUGGUGGAAAAUUCGACUCUAGUGACAGUGCUACUCAUAGGUGUUUUUUUUUUUUAAAUAGAUGUCCGAUUUUUACAACUUUUUUUAAUACGUAAGCUAGGGAAAUAAUAAAUUAUACUUCCGGUGACAAUAAUAAAAUAAUAUAACAUACUAAUAUUCUUCACACGAUGACACGCACGCACACUCACGUAUAUAUUAUAUCGCGUCGUCUUAUUAAAAUUUGCAGUCGUAAUUUACAACGAAUAAAAUGACUUCCAC